rnacentral:misc_RNA from 1 species
GAUUUAAUUUGCAGAAAUCCCAUGCUUAUUAAGGCAGAAAUUCAUGAAUGGACAGAUGGGGAGGAGCUAGAACGUGUAUUGCUGCAGAUUAUUGGUGCAAUUUCUUCUAUGGAAGACAAAUCUGCUGCUCAGUUAUUCUCAUCAACUGAUUGCAAGUUGCAGACUAUUUCAAUAGGUGCCCAUGACGCCUUCCCUAAAGCUCUUUCUGUUCCUCAGUAGUUAGCUUUUGUAACCCAAAUUUUGGCGGAUGCCGCCGCACCUAUCAAGUGGACAGGAUUUUUUUUUUUUGAAAGAAAAUAAAAU